rnacentral:lncRNA from 1 species
AUGGAUCCCGAAGAGCUCGAAGGGCUCGGCGGGGGAGUCGGUGCCGAGGUGGAAAUAGAAGAAGCAGAGGCAGCCGUUGUGGAAACGGAAGGGACUUUAUGGGCACUGUUAGAAAAGGCGGCCCAAAUGCUGCUGGAUGUGGCUGGAAUGUCUCUGCUGGGGCUUGUUACAUGGGAAGACGUUCAUCAGGACCUUUUGGAAGAGAUAUUGUGCACACUUGGACCUGAGCAUCCCCUAGUAGAGGAAAUUUUGAACCUCCGUUAG